UGUUUUGCUGGUUACUGUUAAAGAAAAUUGAUGGAAAAGGAAGUUUUGGUGGUUUGAAGAAUGAGACAAGAGGUUUUAAUAAAACUGGAGAUGGGAAAAAAGAUGUAUCUCCUUUCAAAGGUACUUGCACGAGGAAAAAAACAGAACAGAUAUCAACAACUACUAUCACACCAGAAUCUAUCCUAACUGAAAAAGACAUUGUGAAUUAUGUUUGCAACGAGUGUAAACGAUUGGAUCCAACAUUUCUUCAAUGUGACGGAAUAUGUCCAGACAUUGAUUCUGGGACAGUUUUCGCUGAUAGUUUGCUGCCUUAAGGAGAUCCAUUUUGUUAUUUUUGUGAAAAUUAUCGCAUCAACAAGAAUGAUUAUAAG